UUUGUUGGGCGGCCGUCCUGCGGAGGCGACCGAAAGACCUAAAGGCAGACCUGCCCGUGAGGUGCAUCCUGGGUUUUUCCAGGGACUUCCUGGAAAAACAAAGGUGCUAAACAGCACUUGUAGAGUGCUCCAGAAUUCUUGUGGGUGCCAAUGAUGUGAGGUGAAAAGCACAAAAUUGCUCCUAAGUGGAUGCGUGGCUAGUGCCCCUCGCCUCACCUCUGCAUCCCUUUACUGCCUGAAGAGCGCCGUGCCGUGCGGCCCUACCGGCAGGUAUGGACCCCAGCCUGAGCAGCAGAUACCGACUACCGGGGACGCAUACGAUUUCAAGUCGACGGCCCGCGCCUAGCACAGACAACGAAGAUCAUCGCAGCCCAACACGCGUCAGUCCUCCACUCGCUUCGGUCCAGAAACAGCUUCAGAAACUAGAAAUAACGAAAACGAACGAGUUGAAUCUACCGGGAGGUAGGUCCACCAGCGGCGUGUCCUCCUCCGAUUCGUCCGAGUCCGCGGGCCCGUGCACCUGGCAGCCCACCGGGAAGUACUCGCAUGCCGCGGGCGGGAGGGCGCGACGGGCACGCGGCCGCGCGCCGGUGAGGCGGAGGCGGGGGGCGGCGGGGGACGCCCACCCCCAACACCACUGCUGCGAGCCCGCCGAGGACACCGACAGCGCCAGCGAUCACAACUCGGCGGCGGCCGCGUCCUCGAGCUCGGGCGACGAGUCGACGGCGGCCGGCAGAGGAGCAGGUGCCGAUGGAUCGCGCCGGGACGCGGGUCCGACCCGAGGGAAUCUGGCGAGCCCUGCCCGCCUUCCCUGCGCAGGUGGCGAGGGGGUACCGCCGGGGCGCGGCGACGGGCACCAAGCCUGCCAGCAGGGCUGUCUGCAGGGGUGUCAGCACGCGUACCAGCCGGCCGCGCACCCCUACAAGCAGGACGUCGAGCACAAGGGCCGGUCCUUUAGCGUGGAACAGAUGUGGCGGAUCGAGCGCGAGAACCAGGACCUGCUGCGGCGCCUCCGCGCCUGCCGGAGAGUGGCGCCGCCGAGCGCGCCCGCCCACAUCAGGCGGAUCACGGCGUCCUCCGCCAUCAACAGGACUGCGAGGCAGCGGGAGAUCGACCGCGAGAACAGGGUGCGCCGCCGUGUGGCAUGACGAGACACAACCCCCUGGCCCUUGACGCAAAUUACCUUAUUUUGGUUGGUGGAUCAGUGAGUUCGGAGAAACGUUUAAAACGCGCUAUAAGGAAGUCGCCAGUCGCGAGGGGAACAUAAUCCGCCGGCGGCUGCAGGACAUACAACAGUCUUCGUCUCUUAUCAGUUUGUCCAGCGCACGGCGAGGGCGAGGAAGAGGCACGACGAACAGGGCCAUGCGUCAAGAUGGGCCAUUUAGGGAGUGAGAGGAUCUUCUUAAUCAACUUCGGAGCUUGUUCUCCUUUCUGUACAGCAAUUAAAGAAAGAGAGGACAUA